GGGGUGCGAUGGGCGGAAGCCUGACGCAGCACGCCGCGUGAGGGACGAAGGCUUUCUGAGUUGUAAACCUCUUUCGACAGGAACGAUUGUGACGGUACCUGUAGAAGAAGCACCGGCCAACUAUGUGCCAGCAGCCGCGGUGAUACAUAGGGUGCAAGCGUUAUUCGGAUUUAUUGGGCGUAAAGAGCUCGUAGGCGGUUCAACAAGUCGGGUGUUAAACCCCCAGGCUCAACCUGGGGCCGCCACCCGAAACUGUUGUGACUAGAGUUUGGUAGGGGAUCACGGAAUUCCUGGUGUAGCGGUGGAAUGCGCAGAUAUCAGGAGGAACACCAGUAGCGAAGGCGGUGAUCUGGGCCAAUACUGACGCUGAGGAGCGAAAGCGUGGGGAGCGAACAGGAUUAGAUACUCUGGUAGUCCACGCCGUAAACGGUGGGCACUAGGUGUGGGGACUUUUCAACGGUUUCCGCGCCGCAGCUAACGCAUUAAGUGCCCCGCCUGGGGAGUACGGUCGCAAGAC
rnacentral:rRNA from 1 species